rnacentral:lncRNA from 1 species
CUCAUAUAAGAUUUGUCACAUGGUCUUGUAUUGGCUUCGUUAUCCAUCAACGUGAAGCUUUGAAGCCCUCUUUGUCUGUUGUCUUGUUUCUUCCCUGUUUCAGCUAGGCAGAUGGGAUUUAAAGAUAGAAGACAUUGCCCUUUGCUCUGCAAGUUAGCAACAGAAUACAUCAGGAAAUGCGAUGGUUGCGAAGAGGAUAUAUAUACAUAUUUCUCUAAUGAACCAGAUGUGGAUUCACUGUUUGUUAAGCUCGUGGAAGAGUUUGAGAGAUGCAUUCUUAGUUAUUUUGCAUUUCAUUGGAGUCAUGCAGAUCUUAUGAUUAGUGAGGUCAGCAUCAACAUGUAUAUACUAUGUUGGUACUAUAUUGCUUCAAAUAUAUAAGAAAACUACAAAACCUAUGAUAGAUACAUGUUCAAAUCCGACACAUCCGAGAAAACUACAAAAACUAUGAUAGAUACAUGUUCAAAUCCGACACAUCCAAGUUCAAAUAACAUAUAGAAAAUGACUUGUUUUUUAUCAUAUUGUUUCAGGUAUUAAGUUCUGAUGCUGAACCCAAGAGAAAGCUCAAGCAGAUUGUCAUGGCAGCAACUAGGUUGGGCAUAGUCUAUUCUUUGAUUAUUGUUAUUGUCAGAUCAUAAUAAUAACUAAAAAAAUUUAUUGAAAUAAGGUAGAUCUGAAGAUUUUCGAAUUAAUAUAUCAACUUUAGAUUAUAUCUAUUUACGGCAAGAAACUUGGAUUUUAAAACCUUAAAACUAGCGUAGCUAUAGUCUCUCACCAUCGUCGUCACUGCUGACAAGUAAUACUGAUUUCUACAAAAAGAACUUCGGUUUUCUAAUAUAGGGAACAAAGAUUUGAGAGGGUGACAAAAAGUCUGAAGGUGGCUAGGGUUUUCAAUACGUUGGUGGAAGAAAUGAAAGCAAUGGGACUCACCUCAACUGAUGAUUCCCGAUGUACAGAGGUGAUGGCUCCAGUGGCUCACAGUGAUAGAAGCCCAGUGCUGCUACUCAUGGGAGGUGGGAUGGGAGCUGGGAAGAGUACCGUCCUUAAGGACAUCCUCAAAGAGUAAGCUCGUCCUAUAUCCGACACUUAUCACCGAGUAACUCGAUCAUAACGUAGCAGACAAUUAGUCUCCUUUUGUUCCUGUAGAAGUAAAGAAACCAUUUGUAUGGAUGACUAUUUUAGUCAAGUAGACCUUCCAUAAAGUUUUCUUUUGAAAUUAGUAGUAAAUAUGAGUACUUACAAGGAACUAAUGUUGAGUGUUUUGCUUAAAAUAUGAACAGAACAUUCUGGGCUGGCGCAGCAGGAAAUGCAGUAGUGAUCGAGGCAGAUGCAUUCAAAGAAUCAGAUGUCAUAUACAGAGCCCUCAGCUCCAAAGGUCAUGCAGACAUGGUUCAUACAGCAGAACUGGUAAGAGUCACUUUCUCAGCCUCAUCAACUUUCACUGAUAGUUUCUUUAGCAAACUGAAUGAUUUCAAUUGCAUAGGCUUAAUGGCUUAAUACAGUAGCUAGCAGUAAACAAAGUUUUCUCCCAGCAUGUACAGGUUAUAAUCUAUUGAAACAAAGAGUUUCAAUGCAUUUCCCCAUCUCAUUCACUCCACUUCGAUCCUAUGAUUGGCAUCUCUAUCAUCCAAGCUGGUUGCACUUUUGGCCAAAAUGUUGAGAUCAAACAGCUCAUGGAUUAAACUUCCUUUAUUUCUAGAAGUAACACUAGGUUGCCUUUCUUUUUUAUGUGUAUAUGUUUUAGUAAUUAACUAGACUCAAAAACUAAAACAUAAAAUCCAUGCAACCUGAAGGAAAAUGAUUGAGUUGCAUUAUUAACUGAAAAUGUCAAACAUCUACAUUUAGAAAAUGCAUACCAACGGCAACCAAUUCAAAUAUUUUUCCAGCCUUUCCAUAAUGCAAGAGCCUCUGUAAUCAUUUUCUGAGCUACUCUGAGGUUGGACUUUCUUCCAUCAACCUUUAACCAAUUAACAACAUCCCAGUAAUCCAUGUCCUGUAAUAUCUUGUCACUGCCACAUGUGGCCCUACAAAAGUUUCCUUCCCACAUGAAUAAGUGUAUCUUUACAUUCAACAGUAAUAAAUAUUUCAUUUUUCUGUUCUCCACCAAGUCAACAUAGACUCAUAGUUCUCAAACAAAAACUCAAUGUUAAAUGUACAAAUCAACAAAAAAAUACUUCAUAGGUAAAUGAAUAACAUGGUAACCAUAUUAAUGCUUCUCAUUGGUUUUAACAACUGUCCCAAACAGGUGCACCAAUCAUCUACAGAUGCUGCAUCAUCCCUCCUAGUGACAGCACUCAAUGAGGGGCGGGACGUGAUCAUGGAUGGAACACUCUCCUGGAUACCAUUUGUUGUGCAAACAAUAACUAUGGCCAGAUGUGUCCAUCGCCGGCGAUAUCGUAUGGGUGUUGGUUACAAGCGAAAACCUGAUGGGACUGUAAUUGAGAACUACUGGGAGCAAAUUGAAGAAGAUCAAUUGCAAGAAGGAGGGAAAAGGAGGAAGCCAUACAGAAUAGAGCUGGUUGGGGUUGUUUGUGAAGCCUAUUUAGCGGUCAUUAGAGGCAUAAGGUACUGCACCAUGGAAAACAUUAGAGACAGUUGUCUUAGUUUUAGUACGAAGUCUUUUCCCCUUUAGCUGAGAUAUUGAUUUUAUCAAGAAAUUCAAUAUUUACAGGAGAGCUAUAAUGUGUAGACGCGCUGUAAGGGUGCAGUCACAAUUGAAAUCCCACAAGAGAUUUGCAAAUGCGUUUCCAACAUAUUGCCAACUGGUUGACAGUGCUAGGCUGUAUUCCACCAAUGCUUUGGAAGGUCCACCUAAGGUGAAUUAACUAUCCGACAUUUUCAAUCUUUAUUUACUUAACAGGUGACAUAAAACUGAAAGGAACACCUAGUUCACCAAAGAAUUUUAUCAUGCAAGAAAUGCUAUUUGUAAAUUGUUUGACAUUUCAAUACAGGAGGCUUUUGUCUCUGGUACAAAAUUAGAUGAGGAGAACUGGCUUUCUCUUAAAGCCAUGAACCCUGCUCAAUCUUUCAGGAAGAUCAUAAGCAGGCUUACCACUAGUCUAAUUUUAUUGGAAAAAAACCAUAGUAGUAUGAAAAACAGCUGACACUGUUGUAAAGUAGCAAUCUACAAAUAGAACUCCUUUCUAGGCAUGCAAACUUCCAUUUUCUUGUUCAGGACUGAACUCAUUCAAGUGUCUGGUUGUAGAAUUGGUGAGAGAGUGGUUUUGAACCCUCACAAGUCCAAGACAACUAAGUUGAGAUUAAACCAAACCUAAGCGGAGAAAAAUUCCAGCAGCCCAGUUUACUCCAUUAUAAUCCUAAAACUGAAAUCUAGGAGGAAGAGAAAAUAGCCUUGUCUGUUACAGAUAACUGCAGGCUGCAGCAUGCAGGGAUAAACAAAUAAAUUGUGAAGGAACUUCAUUGCUAGCAAAAUUACUCCAUGCAACCAAUUAUGUAGCAUUAACAUGAAAAUUUUUGUAAAGUUGAUAGGAUGGAAAGAAAGAGAGAGAACCUUGCUAGUUGAUCCAGAUGAAAUUGACUGUUUAAAGAAAGUGGGCAGGCUGAAUGAAGAAGCUGAGUCCAUAUAUGAACUUUACAAGCACCCCAACCCGGCGUGUGAAGCUGGUUCAAUCUGGAAAGACAUUGUACUAUCACCUUCUAGACUAAAUAUUCAAAAGGAGCUGAAGUUUACCAUCCAGAAAGUGGAAAGAAUGACGCAGCACAAAAAGAGUUAAAAGCUUAUGAAUAUUCACCAAAAAAUUUACAUGCUGAAGGAGGUAUCUCAAUCCUUUUUCUAUAGUUAUGACCAAGAAUGUCUACUAAGGUUGUAUUAAAUCAUGAAGAAUAUGUGUAAAUUUUUUGUUACUAGCUUAGCUCAGUUCAGACUCUGGAACUGGAAAACAGAAUAUUCCCAUUAAUUGUUUCAAAUAAUCUACUAGUAUCGGUAGGUGUGGGGCUGAGCAUUGGAACUCCAAAGAGGAAUUUAAAAGUAAAAGAAAGAGAAAUUACAGCAGCAACUUAAGUGAGAUAAAUUCUUACUUCACAAUUCAAUUAACGCAGACUGUGCGUGGUUGCAAUUACCAUCAAAUUUAAAGACAUGCAUCCACACAAACAUGCACAUCUACAACAAAAGAUGAGUAUGGAUGCUAGCUUUCAAGCAAUAAAAAAGCAUAAUAAAUAUGAUAAUAACCAAAAGGAUCUGCAGCAUGAGAUAAUGCAGACCACUAUCAACGAACCUGGACAUCCCAUUAUUUUCCUUAAUUACAACUAAGAACCUUUUCAACGUUCAAAUAAAAAAUGAAUUGUUUAGCAAAUGGUUGUCAAUUGAUGAUCCACCCAUUAACAUGAAGAAAAUAAUGGUAAUCCAGAUUGUGAAUGAAAUCUGUAACUAGGAUCACAAUUUAUGAUACCUGGAAGUUAAAAGUGAAGCAUUUCACAUAUUCAAAAGAAUCCCCAUUUUCCGUAUAGUGAUUCUGCAAAUACAAACCAUUGUAAUAAUGAAACCACAGCAAUUUUUUCCCUUUUGGAACUGUUCUAUAAAAUACCAUAUUGUAGAGCUGUUCUUGAAAAAACAAUUGUUCUAAAUAGAAGCUGCUCUGAACAACAAUUGUUCUAAACAUAGUUCCUGAAAUGCAAUUAUUCUAAACAAAAGUUAUGGACAUUAGCUAUUAUCAAGAGAAGCCAUUCUAAGAUGAUAGCUACCUUGGAUGACAACUGUUCUAAAUGAAGCCUUGUUCUGAACAUAGUUGUUUCAAAUUUAGAUUCUCAAACAAUAAUUGUUCUAAACAGUAACUAUUCUAAACAAGAGUUGUUCUUCCAGAAGAGAUAUUAAUAGAAGCAACUCCACUACUUGUUUCGAGUUAAACUUUGUUACUAUCUUUGGAAGUUUAAGUUCUUAAAACAUAAUCUUAAUUAUCUCCGAAAAAAGAUAAGAUAUUAAUAGCCAAAACAAAGUAUCUACACACAUCUACUCCUUAAAAGGGCUGGGAAGAUAAUGAAAGCCUUGUCAAUAUCACUGAUGUUUAGAAUUUGUAUGAGUUUUGUACAGCAAAGAACGAGAAAGGUAAAAUGGAAUCAUUGUAAAAAAUAAAAAGAAAAUAAAGAAAUUUUCAAACGAAAUCAAUCAAGAUGUAGCACCAAGGAGGCAAGUUUCUUUAUUACACCCCUCAAGAAGGUGACGGAAGGAGACACCAAUCCUGAAACAAUCCAUCUCAAAAGCAGGUCAUGGUAAGGAUUUUGUGAAGACAUCAGCAAGUUGAACACUAACAAAACUGUGAGCAACAAAAAGAUCUUCCUCAUGAAUCUUGGACUAAGCAAUAUGAUAAUUAAUUUCAAUGUGUUUCAUGGAGA